rnacentral:rRNA from 1 species
UCUUCGGAUCGUAAAGCUCUUUCGGCCGGGACGAAAACCCACUGUUUCAUAAGCGGUGGCUUGACGGUACCGGAAGAAGAAGCACCGGCUAACUCUGUGC